UACGGGGGGGGCAAGCGUUGUUCGAAAUUACUGGGCGUAAAGGGCUCGUAGGUGGCCAACUAAGUCAGACGUGAAAUCCCUCGGCUUAACCGGGGAACUGCGUCUGAUACUGGAUGGCUUGAGUUUGGGAGAGGGAUGCGGAAUUCCAGGUGUAGCGGUGAAAUGCGUAGAUAUCUGGAGGAACACCGGUGGCGAAGGCGGGUCACUGGGCUGAUACUGACGCUGAAGUGCGAAAGCCAGGGGAGCGAACGGG
rnacentral:rRNA from 1 species